UGGGGAAUUUUGGACAAUGGGCGAAAGCCUGAUCCAGCAAUGCCGCGUGUGUGAAGAAGGCCUUCGGGUUGUAAAGCACUUUUGUCCGGAAAGAAAUCCUUGGCUCUAAUACAGUCGGGGGAUGACGGUACCGGAAGAAUAAGCACCGGCUAACUACGUGCCAGCAGCCGCGGUAAUACGUAGGGUGCAAGCGUUAAUCGGAAUUACUGGGCGUAAGCGUGCGCAGGCGGUUUGCUAAGACCGAUGUGAAAUCCCCGGGCUCAACCUGGGAACUGCAUUGGUGACUGGCAGGCUAGAGUAUGGCAGAGGGGGGUAGAAUUCCACGUGUAGCAGUGAAAUGCGUAGAGAUGUGGAGGAAUACCGAUGGCAGAGNCCGGCCCAUGCACUGACGCUCAUGCACGAAAGCGUGGGGAGCAAACAGGAUUAGAUACCCUGGUAGUCCAGCGUCCUAAACGAUGUCAACUAGUUGUUGGGGAUUCAUUUUCCUUAGUAACGUAGCUAACGCGUGAAGUUGACCGCCUGGGGAGUACGGUCGCAAGAUUAAAACUUAAGGAAUUG
rnacentral:rRNA from 1 species